rnacentral:rRNA from 1 species
GAUGAACGCUGGCGGCGUGCCUAAUACAUGCAAGUCGAGCGAACAGAUGAGGAGCUUGCUCCUCUGACGUUAGCGGCGGACGGGUGAGUAACACGUGGAUAACCUACCUAUAAGACUGGGAUAACUUCGGGAAACCGGAGCUAAUACCGGAUAAUAUAUUGAACCGCAUGGUUCAAUAGUGAAAGACGGUUUUGCUGUCACUUAUAGAUGGAUCCGCGCCGCAUUAGCUAGUUGGUAAGGUAACGGCUUACCAAGGCAACGAUGCGUAGCCGACCUGAGAGGGUGAUCGGCCACACUGGAACUGAGACACGGUCCAGACUCCUACGGGAGGCAGCAGUAGGGAAUCUUCCGAAUGGGCGAAAGCCUGACGGAGCAACGCCGCGUGAGUGAUGAAGGUCUUCGGAUCGUAAAACUCUGUUAUUAGGGAAGAACAAAUGUGUAAGUAACUAUGCACGUCUUGACGGUACCUAAUCAGAAAGCCACGGCUAACUACGUG